UACGUAGGGGACGAGCGUUGUCCGGAAUUAUUGGGCGUAAAGGGUGCGUAGGCGGCAUUUUAAGUCAGUGGUGAAAUACUUCAGCUUAACUGGAGAGGUGCCAUUGAUACUGGGAUGCUUGAGUACUGAUGAGGUAGGCGGAAUGGACGGUGUAGCGGUGAAAUGCUUAGAUAUCGUCCAGAACACCGAUAGCGAAGGCAGCUUACUAAGGAGUAACUGACGCUGAGGCACGAAAGUGUGGGGAUCAAACAGG
rnacentral:rRNA from 1 species